UCAGCUUGCUGAAGUCAGUAAAGUGGCGCACGGGUGAGUAACGCGUGGGUAAUCUGCCUCCGAAUUGGGGAUAACAUUGCGAAAGCGAUGCUAAUACCGAAUAACAUCCUUAAAACUUCGGUUUUUUGGAUCAAAGGUGGUCUCUACAUGUAAGCUACUGUUUGGAGAUGAGCCCGCGUACCAUUAGCUUGUUGGUAGGGUAAAAGCCUACCAAGGCGACGAUGGUUAGCUGGUCUGAGAGGAUGAUCAGCCACACUGGAACUGACACACGGUCCAGACUCCUACGGGAGGCAGCAGUGAGGAAUUUUGCGCAAUGGGGGAAACCCUGACGCAGCAACGCCGCGUGAGUGAUGAAGGCUUUCGGGUCGUAAAGCUCUGUCAAGUGGGAAGAACCUACGAAGUGCCAAUACCACUUUGUACUGACGGUACCACUGAAGGAAGCACCGGCUAACUCCGUGCCAGCAGCCGCGGUAAUACGGGGGGUGCAAGCGUUAUUCGGAAUCAUUGGGCGUAAAGAGCGCGUAGGCGGUCUCUUAAGUCAGGUGUGAAAGCCCGAGGCUUAACCUCGGAAGUGCAUUUGAAACUAAGGGACUUGAGUAUGGGAGAGGGAAGUGGAAUUCCUGGUGUAGCGGUGAAAUGCGUAGAUAUCA
rnacentral:rRNA from 1 species